GCGCCUGUAGCUCAGUGGAUAGAGCAUCCGCCUCCGACGCGGUGUGCGCUGGUUCGAUUCCAGUCAGGCGUACCA
rnacentral:tRNA from 1 species